rnacentral:lncRNA from 1 species
AUGCUUGCCUUAAGAAGACAUGUUCUGUGGAGCCAGCAUUGUGCCUGGGUAGACGGCGGAACUUGGGAACAUAAGUUCGGAACCCUGGUUAGUCAUAAAGCUCACUGGGUGACCUUGAAUCAGAUCUUGAUCUCUCUCAUAUUUAGAAUUUAUUAUCUAAACCUCUUACUCAUGCAGAAAGGGGGCAAAAAGGCAAGUGUCAAGACCAUUGCAGAGAAAAUGACUGCUUCCCAGGAGACGGUUGGAGAUAGCAGGUCUGAAGGGGAAGAUGAAGGAUGGAAGGGUUCUAGAGCAAGCCAUAAUCAUCAGAAAGUCACUGCAGCACCACCAGGAGAGUAUGUAAUUAUGGUCCAUGAAGUGACUUCACCUCCAUUCCUAGGCCAGCAUCUCCCACCUGCGUUCAAGCUCCUGAGGGUUUUGCCAAAGAGAGGCAAAAGUGCAGGUUCUGAAAAGGAAACAAAAAAAGAUGUUGACAAUUGAAGAAAAGAAAUUUAAAGAUGUGACCACAACUAUGCCCAGCUGGACACAGGCUCCCCACAAAAUUAAUCUCCCCUGAAGGUGUUGUUGGAAAUGGAACCAGCAUGGAAGUCUGAAGCUGCUCACCUGAUGCAAAAAAAGAAUAAAUAAUUAGCAGCAUUUUAGUGUAUUCCUAAUAAAAUGCAUUUGUGUACACAUUCUACCAUAGGAAAUAAUUUUUAGUACACAUAAUGUGGGUGGAGAACUGCAUUGUAAAAUUCAGAGAAGUGAGAAUUUCAAAGGAGAGCUGUGUUUUGGUUUGCAUAUUGUUUCAGGAAAUGGGAAUGAGGUAAAUUUGCCUUUAAAAGCGAACUGAGAUUAAUGUUUUCCCCAUCCCUCCUGAUGCACUUGGAAGGAGGAGGUAGUGUCAGUUCUGCAAGGCUAAACCAGCCGGAGUGUCAGAUGGACUCUGCCAGUGCAUCCAUACACAGCCCUGACCUCACCGCUGCUUUGCUCUUCUUCUUCCAAGUGUGCCACAGCAAUAUGAUGGACAGGAAGCUAUUGUUGCUGUUUUGCCCCACUAGGCAAGCUGCUCCUGGUGGGAACCAUUCAUCCCAUGGUAGCCACUCAGCCAUUGCCCCCCCAAAAGUGGAAAUGCAUCACACACAAAAGAUGGACAAAAGCUUUGGGUAACAUUUGCAUAUGCUCAGAUAUCUGAAGCACUUGAAGGAGCUGGGUAUGUUUAGCCUGGAAAAGAGGAGACUGAGAGGAGAUAUUAUAGUCAUUUACAAAUAUCUUAAGGGCUGCCACAUGGAAGAGGGAACAAGCUUGUUUUCUCCUGCUGUGGAAGGUAAGACUGGAACACAAGUUACAAGAAAGGAGAUUCUGACUGAAUGUCAGGAAAAACUUUCUGACAAUAAGAGCUGUUCGGCAGUGGAACAGACUCCCACGAGAGGUGGUGGACUCUCCUUCCUUGGAGGUUUUUAAGCAGAGGUUGGAAGGCCAUCUGUCAUGGAUGCUUUAGCUGAGAUUCCUUCACUGCAGGGGGUUGGACUAGAUGACCCUUGGGUCCCUUCCAAUUCUACAAUUCUAUGAUCUGUAUCUAUUAUACAAAAAGAUGCAAGUUCAGAAAUAAUUACUACAAUUUAAAGAGAAAUACAAUAGAUCAUCUGAGCAUAGUGAGGGAAACUGACUAGGUAACCUAUGUCCCUGCUCAGACUACUA